AGCUACAGGCAGUUUUGAGCUGCUGGUGUGGGUGCUAGGAACUGACAUGGUUUCUCUGGAAGUGCUCUUAACUGCUGAGCC
rnacentral:miRNA from 1 species